rnacentral:rRNA from 1 species
GAUGAACGCUGGCGGCGUGCCUAAUACAUGCAAGUCGAGCGAACGGACGAGAAGCUUGCUUCUCUGAUGUUAGCGGCGGACGGGUGAGUAACACGUGGAUAACCUACCUAUAAGACUGGGAUAACUUCGGGAAACCGGAGCUAAUACCGGAUGAUAUUUUGAACCGCAUGGUUCAAAAGUGAAAGAAGGUCUUGCUGUCACUUAUAGAUGGAUCCGCGCUGCGUUAGCUAGUUGGUAAGGUAACGGCUUACCAAGGCAACGAUGCAUAGCCGACCUGAGAGGGUGAUCGGCCACACUGGAACUGAGACACGGUCCAGACUCCUACGAGAGGCAGCAGUAGGGAAUCUUCCGCAAUGGGCGAAAGCCUGACGGAGCAACGCCGCGUGAGUGAUGAAGGUCUUCGGAUCGUAAAACUCUGUUAUUAGGGAAGAACAUAUGUGUAAGUAACUGUGCACAUCUUGACGGUACCUAAUCAGAAAGCCACGGCUAACUACGUG